ensembl:misc_RNA
CUGAUAGUCCUUGAAAAUGAAGUUCUUUGUUAAUUCAUGGAAAGCUAGUAGAGCAAGAGUGGCAGGGACUUUCCUUGAUCCAUAUGUAUGCCUCAGCCCUUAUCUAGGGAGAACAUUUCUGUGACGAGGGAAAGCACGGAUUUCUGUGCCAAGUUAGUUCUUGGCCCCU